ensembl:lncRNA
AGACAUACAAAAUGUCCAGUGUUGGGGUCGCCCGGGACCAGGGUUGAGAAACACUGCUCUAAUACUAAAAUGGUGGUGCCUCAUUCUCUUGGAAAAUUUUGCUGUUGAAAGGAAACAUGUCCUCACUGCGUGCAAGUGCCGGAAGAGCAGGAGAUUGAAAUCUGCAGCAGGGUAUGUUUGUUAUAUCUCAAAUAGGGGCACUUGAGAA